AACGCUAGCUACAGGCUUAACACAUGCAAGUCGAGGGGUAACGAGAGGAAAGCUUGCUUUCCUUGUCGACGACCGGCGCACGGGUGAGUAACGCGUAUCCAACCUGCCCACAACUAGGGAAUAACCUUGCGAAAGUAAGACUAAUGCCCUAUAAUUUCCUUUGACGGCAUCUGAUUAGGAAUAAAGAUUUAUCGGUUAUGGAUGGGGAUGCGUCUGAUUAGCUUGUUGGCGGGGUAACGGCCCACCAAGGCAACGAUCAGUAGGGGUUCUGAGAGGAAGGUCCCCCACAUUGGAACUGAGACACGGUCCAAACUCCUACGGGAGGCAGCAGUGAGGAAUAUUGGUCAAUGGGCGAAAGCCUGAACCAGCCAAGUAGCGUGCAGGACGACGGCCCUAUGGGUUGUAAACUGCUUUUAUACAGGGAUAAAGUUAGCCACGUGUGGUUAUUUGCAGGUACUGUAUGAAUAAGGACCGGCUAAUUCCGUGCCAGCAGCCGCGGUAAUACGGAAGGUCCAGGCGUUAUCCGGAUUUAUUGGGUUUAAAGGGAGCGUAGGCCGUCUGUUAAGCGUGUUGUGAAAUGUAGAUGCUCAACAUCUGAAUUGCAGCGCGAACUGGCAGACUUGAGUGUGCGCAACGUAGGCGGAAUUCGUGGUGUAGCGGUGAAAUGCUUAGAUAUCACGAAGAACUCCGAUUG
rnacentral:rRNA from 1 species